rnacentral:rRNA from 1 species
UAGCUGUAGGUGAACCUGCUGCUGGAUCAUUACUUUAUGUGAUGUUCAAAUUUGAAUUCGCAAUGAAAUGAUCGUUGUGAGACGGCUGUCGCUGGUGUCUAGGUGUUGCUGAUACAGUUGUUAACGUCCGUGGCUGUAUAUGUGGUGACAUGUUAGGACUCUUUAAUGAGUUUAAGACUUAAUGAGCCUCUUAAGUGAGGACGCCAGCACUCUUUUUUUCUCUAUAUUUUUUAAAAAAACGAAAAUUUCUAGCCUUAUCGGUGGAUCACUCGGCUCGUGGAUCGAUGAAGAACGCAGCAAACUGCGAUAAUUUGUGCGAACUGCAGAAACCUUGAGCACAAAAGUUUUGAACGCAUAUUGCAGCAUUGGGGUCAAACCCUUUGCUACGUCUGGUUCAGGGUCAUUUUCUUUUAAAGCGAAAGCUUUAAUUUAUAUAUGCUAUUGAUGCUUUAUAUUUUAAGAGGUUUGUUGUUUGUCAUAAUUUUAUAAAUAUAACUACAAAAAUCAAGCAACUUUGACCUGAACUCAGUCGAGAGC